AACGAACGCUGGCGGCAGGCUUAACACAUGCAAGUCGAGCGACCCGCAAGGGGAGCGGCAGACGGGUGAGUAACGCGUGGGAACGUGCCCUAAGGUUCGGAAUAGCUCCGGGAAACUGGAAUUAAUACCGAAUGUGUCCGUGAGGAGAAAGAUUUGUCGCCUUAGGAUCGGCCCGCGUUGGAUUAGCUAGUUGGUGGGGUAAAAGCCUACCAAGGCGACGAUCCAUAGCUGGUCUGAGAGGACGACCAGCCACACUGGGACUGAGACGCGGCCCAGACUCCUACGGGAGGCAGCAGUGGGGAAUCUUGGACAAUGGGCGCAAGCCUGAUCCAGCCAUGCCGCGUGGAUGAUGAAGGCCUUAGGGUUGUAAAAUCCUUUCGUCGGGGACGAUAAUGACGGUACCCGAAGAAGAAGCUCCGGCUAACUUCGUGCCAGCCGCCGCCGUAAUAC
rnacentral:rRNA from 1 species